GGCAUCCAGUCCACUAAGUUAUAGGUAUAAUAAGCGUUAAGGAACUGCCGACCACCCCUAGAUGGUUGGGGCAGUUAACAGUACCUCUCCCCCAAUCCUCCAGACAACUCUAUCAUCUUGUUCGAAGAAGUACACAUGCCACUUGUAGUCAAUCUCGUCGAAGACAAAGGAGUGCAGUGCGUAAUUUCUUCCUCUGAAUAUGUAGCUAAGGAGCCAUUGAUUCCCAUCCCAUAUCCCGGAGCUACCAUACUAAAUAGCAUUCAUUAUGAGUAGUUAGAACAUCUUCCUUCAUAUUCUAUAUUCUGAUGUGGAAUGGAAGGAAGUCUUUUCCUGGAUACUGUACUUUGAAGCAUGUAAGAGCGAAUACUGACUGUAAGAGUAUGAGGAAUUCAAGUUAUUUAUGUUGGAUGGAUAGACAGGCCGAAGGAGAGGACGAAGAGAAAUAAGAG
rnacentral:sRNA from 2 species